rnacentral:misc_RNA from 1 species
AAUCCUAAUGAUGAAUUAUAAACAGUAUAGCACCUCUCCCAGUGCUUGUGAAUUCCUGUUGAUGAUGGUUAUUGCUAAUUUGCUGACAGUAAUUACUAAUUUCUAUUUUUACUGAUAUCACCACUGCUAUGAUCACUGCAUUGUUAUUGUUGUCAUUGAUACACCAACAUUAAUUAAUCCUUGCUAAUAAGCCAUCUCUGCCAUCCAACUUUUUACGGCCAUCAUAACCAUUAAUAAUAUAGAUCAUAGUCUGUAAUUUCGAGUUUAAUAAGUUUUCAAUUGUUCUACUAGCACAUUUUCUUCCCCCACCAUAGUUUCAAGUUGGGUUGAUCUUACAUUAAAAUAUAGGCCCAUCAUCUGUUUCCGAGGAGUUGGGCUUGGCAGGGUAUUGACUUGAACCACAAGUUGUUGUUGAAAUUUUGAUAAUCUGAAUUUUCUUAUAAAAUUACUUCCACAUAAUGUGAAUCGGGAAUUAAUUUAAGGAUAUU